rnacentral:rRNA from 1 species
AGGAUAAACGCUGGCGGCGUGCCUAACACAUGCAAGUCGAACGUCUCUUCUUUCGGGAAGAGGAGUGGCGGACGGGUGAGUAACGCGUGAGAAUCUGCCCUUAGGUCGGGGACAACCAUUGGAAACGAUGGCUAAUACCGGAUAAGCCGAGAGGUAAAAGAUUAAUUGCCUAGGGAAGAGCUCGCGUCUGAUUAGCUAGUUGGUGAGGUAAAGGCUCACCAAGGCAUCGAUCAGUAGCUGGUCUGAGAGGAUGAUCAGCCACACUGGGACUGAGACACGGCCCAGACUCCUACGGGAGGCAGCAGUGGGAAUUUUCCGCAAUGGGCGAAAGCCUGACGGAGCAAGACCGCGUGAGGGAGGAAGGCUCUUGGGUUGUAAACCCUUUUCUCUGGGAAGAACGUUGUGAAAGCAGCCUGACGGUACCAGAGGAAUCAGCAUCGGCUAACUCCGUGCCAGCAGCCGCGGUAA